UAUCUGCCCAUGUGUCUAGUUAACCAAUUGCGUCGCAUUGCACCCUGAUGCACCCUAUUUUAGUAUUUUACUCUGUCUAACGCCAGACGAUUUUACCUGUCAAGGGGAGAGCGCUGGCAGUUAAUGGGUUAAUUGAAUAAUCAUUAUCAUUAAUGUAAGGAUGCAGACAGAAAAUUGAAAGUAGGGCCUGAAUUUCAGGUUAGGUGAUCCAGGAAUGGGGUUGGCCCUCUGCAGGCUAAAUCAAUUGAGGGAGAUCCCUUCAUUUUAAGUUAAAUGAUUAUUUGAAUAGGAUGCCAUUCAGGCAAUAAGGGCCUGGUUAGGUCCAUAUUUUAAUUCAAAUUAUUAAGUACUCGAUUUAUCCAUCAACAAAACCCAACAUUAAAAUUUCCAUCGAGUGAGAUACAACAAAACCAUCUAUAGUUUAUUAAUUAUGUUAACCUAACCCAUCAACUGGCAAUGAGCCUACUUUAGUAUUUUAUAUACUCUAUCUCUAAUUUGCCCAUUGUAUUUAUAAACUGACAGUUAAUACUAUGACUCUUUCACAUACUAAUAAAAUCAUCUGAGGCCGGUUGUUCGAAGCCUGUGUAAGCCUUUGAACUACCGGCCCCAGAUGAUUUUAUUGGUCUGUGAAAGAUUAAUUAUUAACUGUCAGUUUAUAAAUAUAAUGGGAAAAUAUAUGAUUAUGUACAAAUUGCAUGCAAUAUGGUUCAUAAAAUCUCUGCGAUAGACUUGCUCCAACAGAUUCAAAUUCCAUCCUGACAAUACCUAAAUAAUAAUUAUAGAGGUUGCAGUGUUGCACUACCUUUUGCUAAAAUACUGCCAUGGUUUACCAGUAUUAUGAACUCAAAAGUCAAAACACUAACACU